rnacentral:rRNA from 1 species
GUAGUCCACGCCGUAAACGUUGGGCGCUAGGUGUGGGAUCCAUUCCACGGGUUCCGUGCCGCAGCUAACGCAUUAAGCGCCCCGCCUGGGGAGUACGGCCGCAAGGCUAAAACUCAAAGGAAUUGACGGGUGCCCGCACAAGCGGCGGAGCAUGUGGAUUAAUUCGAUGCAACGCGAAGAACCUUACCUGGGUUUGACAUAUAGGGAAAACUGUCAGAGAUGGCAGGUCCGCAAGGGCCCUAUACAGGUGGUGCAUGGCUGUCGUCAGCUCGUGUCGUGAGAUGUUGGGUUAAGUCCCGCAACGAGCGCAACCCUCGUCCUAUGUUGCCAGCACGUAAUGGUGGGGACUCAUAGGAGACUGCCGGGGUCAACUCGGA